AGUUUUGAGGUAUCCCUUCCACAAACCUAACCCAACUGUUUGUCUCGGAAAGUAUUUUGAUAAAUAUCCCUUCUGUCCACACUAUUAACCAAAAUUCCUAAUAUGUCUAAGUGAGAAAAACCCUAAUUGUUCUUUCUGGUGUGUGCCGUUGGCUCAAGAAGUCUCGCCCCUGUUUCUUCGAGAUCCUCCUGAAAAUAUCGCCGGAAAAAGGUUUUCGUCGAAGUUCCUUUUGAAAAUCAGUGAAAAUGGCUGACAACAAAGCCGUUACUAUUCGGACUCGAAAAUUCAUGACAAAUAGACUUCUCUCAAGAAAGCAGUUUGUCAUUGAUGUUCUGCAUCCAGGAAGACCUAAUGUAUCCAAGGCGGAGUUGAAGGAGAAGUUGUCAAAAGUGUAUGAUGUGAAGGACUCAAACUCGAUCUUUGUAUUCAAGUUUCGAACCCAUUUUGGAGGUGGUAAGUCUACUGGCUUUUGGCUUAUAUAUGAUACAGUUGAAACUGCAAAGAAGUACGAGCCCAAAUAUCGUCUUAUACGAGUGGAAUUUGAGAGAUCAUGGUGGUUGAAAUGUUGGUCUUUUGUGGGUCCCCUUGUGUUUGAUUGUUCACUAUUGCAGCAGUGGCAGAGUGCCCUCUUCAAUGGACGAAUGGAACUCCUGUGAAAUAGUUAUUGUGACUCUUAACUAUGGAGGCAAUCCCUUGAGGGCCUUCUGUGGUCUUUAAAAAGAGUGGUGCUCCUUGUGGUUUUUAUUAGAUGAUGACCUAUUUCUCUGUUUCUUGAAUUUGAAAUCCUUAUUAUCAAGAGAAGUUCAAGAUGAUUUUGACAUGUAUAUACGGAAUGGACUUGCUACCAAGGUUGAGAAAUCGAGGAAGCAGAUGAAGGAAAGGAAGAACAGGGCUAAGAAGAUCCGUGGGGUCAAGAAG